rnacentral:rRNA from 1 species
UACGUAGGGUGCAAGCGUUGUCCGGAAUUAUUGGGCGUAAAGAGCUCGUAGGUGGCCUGUCGCGUCGGCUGUGAAAAACUCGGGGGCUCAACUCCGAGCUUGCAGUCGAUACGGGCAGGCUAGAGUUCGGCAGGGGGAGACUGGAAUUCCUGGUGUAGCGGUGAAAAUGCGCAGAUAUCAGGAGGAACACCGGUGGCGAAGGCGGGUCUCUGGGCCGAUACUGACACUGAGGAGCGAAAAGCGUGGGGGAGCGAACAGG